rnacentral:tRNA from 1 species
GUCGGCGUGGACGAGGGACGGAUCACCGGCCUCAUCGGCCCGAACGGCGCGGGCAAGACGACGCUGUUCAACACCGUCACCGGCC